GGAGGGGGCGAGCGUUAUUCGGAAUUAUUGGGCGUAAAGGGCAGGUAGGCGGCUCUGUAUGUCCUCUGUGAAAGCCCUCGGGCUCAACCGAGGAAUUGCAGGGGAAACUGCGGAGCUUGAGUCCGGGAGAGGCUAGUGGAAUUCCCAGUGUAGCGGUGAAAUGCGUAGAUAUUGGGAGGAACACCAGUGGCGAAGGCGGCUAGCUGGACCGGUACUGACGCUGAGCUGCGAAAGCCAGGGGAGCAAACGGGAUUAGAUACCCCGGUAGUCCUGGCUGUAAACGUUGAGCACUUGGUGUGGCGGGUAUCGACCCCUGCCGUGCCGAAGCUAACGCAUUAAGUGCUCCGCCUGGGGAGUACGGUCGCAAGGCUG
rnacentral:rRNA from 1 species